rnacentral:snRNA from 1 species
AUUUCGCUCAUGUUCGGUUUUU